GAUAACCGAAGAUGAUCGCGGGGUUCAGGGUGGGGUUAGAGAUCACCCGGACAUCACCACCACCGGGCGCCCAGGUAUCAUAAACACCGCCGAAGAACAUGGCUUUAAAUACCAACAACAGCGCACCACAGCCUAAGAGAAUGAGGUGAUAACCGAUGAUGUUGGUCAUUUGGUUUUUGUCUUUCCA
rnacentral:antisense_RNA from 1 species